rnacentral:rRNA from 1 species
ACACGGAGGGUCCAAGCGUUAUCCGGAAUCAUUGGGUUUAAAGGGUGCGCAGGCGGUUUAUUAAGUCAGUGGUGAAAUCUCGAGGCUCAACCUCGAAACUGCCAUUGAUACUGAUAAACUUGAGUUCAGUUGGAGUAGGCGGAAUGUGUAGUGUAGCGGUGAAAUGCUUAGAUAUUACACAGAACACCGAUAGCGAAGGCAGCUUACUAAACUGAUACUGACGCUGAGGCACGAAAGCGUGGGGAGCGAACAGGAUUAGAAACCCUAGUAGUCC